AUUGAACGCUGGCGGAAUGCUUUACACAUGCAAGUCGAACGGCAGCACGGACUUCGGUCUGGUGGCGAGUGGCGAAUGGGUGAGUAACAUAUCGGAACGUAUCCAAUAAUGGGGGAUAACUAAUCGAAAGGUUGGCUAAUACCGCAUACGCCCUACGGGGGAAAGCAGGGGAUCUUCGGACCUUGCGUUAAUGGAGCGGCUGAUAUCUGAUUAGCUAGUUGGUGAGGUAAAGGCUCACCAAGGCGACGAUCAGUAGCUGGUCUGAGAGGACGGCCAGCCACACUGUAACUGAGACACGGUCCAGACUCCAACGGGAGGCAGCAGUGGGGAAUUUUGGACAAGGGGCGCAAGCCUGAUCCAGCCAUUCCGCGUGAGUGAAGAAGGCCUUCGGGUUGUAAAGCUCUUUCGCAAGGGAAGAAAACUUACUUUCUAAUAAAGAGUGAGGUUGACGGUACCUUGAUAAGAAGCACCGGCUAACUACGUGCCAGCCGCCGCCGUAA
rnacentral:rRNA from 1 species